rnacentral:rRNA from 1 species
CCUACGGGUGGCAGCAGUAGGGAAUAUUGCUCAAUGGGGGAAACGCUGAAGCAGCAACGCCGCGUGGAGGAUGAAGGUUUUCGGAUUGUAAACUUAUUUUGUUAGAGAAGAUAAUGACGGUAUCUAACGAAUAAGCACCGGCUAACUCCGUGCCAGCAGCCGCGGUAAUACGGAGGGUGCAAGCGUUACUCGGAAUCACUGGGCGUAAAGAGCGCGUAGGCGGGAUAGCAAGUCAGAUGUGAAAUCCUAGGGCUUAACCAUAGAACUGCAUUUGAAACUGGUAUUCUAGAGUAUGGGAGAGGUAGGUGGAAUUCUUGGUGUAGGGGUAAAAUCCGUAGAGAUCAAGAGGAAUACUCAUUGCGAAGGCGACCUGCUAGAACAUAACUGACGCUGAUGCGCGAAAGCGUGGGGAGCAAACAGGAUUAGAUACCCGAGUAGUC